rnacentral:rRNA from 1 species
GAUGAACGCUAGCGGCAGGCUUAACACAUGCAAGUCGAGGGGUAUUGGUUUUCGGACCAAGAGACCGGCGCACGGGUGCGUAACGCGUAUGCAAUCUACCUUUGCAGAGGGAUAGCCCAGAGAAAUUUGGAUUAAUACCUCAUAGUAUAGUACUUUGGCGUCAAGGAACUAUUAAAGUCACAACGGCAAAAGAUGAGCAUGCGUCCCAUUAGCUAGUUGGUAAGGUAACGGCUUACCAAGGCUACGAUGGGUAGGGGUUCUGAGAGGGAGAUCCCCCCACACUGGUACUGAGACACGGACCAGACUCCUACGGGAGGCAGCAGUGAGGAAUAUUGGACAAUGGGCGCAAGCCUGAUCCAGCCAUGCCGCGUGCAGGAUGACGGUCCUAUGGAUUGUAAACUGCUUUUAAUACAGGAAGAAACACUCCGACGUGUCGGAGCUUGACGGUACUGUAAGAAUAAGGAUCGGCUAACUCCGUGCCAGCAGCCG